rnacentral:rRNA from 1 species
AGGACGAACGCUGGCGGCGUGCCUAACACAUGCAAGUCGAACGAGGUCCAUCCGGUAGCAAUACUGGUGAAGAUCAAGUGGCGAACGGGUGAGUAGCACGUGAGCAACCUGCCCCAAAGACCGGGACAACACCGGGAAACCGGUGCUAAUACCGGAUAUCCCCACCGAGUCGCAUGGCUUGGUGAGGAAAUGGAUUCCGCUUCGGGAGGGGCUCGCGGCCUAUCAGCUUGUUGGUGAGGUAACGGCUCACCAAGGCUUCGACGGGUAGCUGGUCUGAGAGGACGAUCAGCCACACUGGGACUGAGACACGGCCCAGACUCCUACGGGAGGCAGCAGUGGGGAAUCUUGCACAAUGGGCGAAAGCCUGAUGCAGCAACGCCGCGUGAGGGACGAAGGCUUUCUGAGUUGUAAACCUCUUUCAGCAGGGACGAUUGUGACGGUACCUGCAGAAGAAGCCCGGCAACUACGCGCCAGCAGCCGCGGUAAU